rnacentral:lncRNA from 1 species
CCCUAGCUUCCCAUGCUUGUAGGUUUCCAAAUUCAGGAGCAGGCAAAUCUUUCACCCUAGCAAGCUGUAAUGCUAGCGGUUUCAGCUGCUCCUGCAUUUGUUGAAAUUCCGCAACAUGUGGACAACAUUAUUUAGAAUCAACCUCACGAAAAGGAGACAUUACAAAAUUUUGACAUAUCAUCCCAACUAAAUGGGGCAUAGUAAAUCCAUCAAAGAGAUUCACAAAGAUAUGUAUGGAAUCUAGUAUGAAGGACAUCUAAGUGAAAUCAAGCUGGUUAAGGUUUUGUAAAAGAAGAAAGUAAUCUUGAUCAAAAACUUGCAAGGUCAACAUCAUGUGAACCUUUUUCAUUGAUGUUGAAAACUAUGAAGCUAGUGAUAAAUUUCUAGUUAAGUAUAAUUUAGGCAAGAGGGACCUCUCAAAAUCUGAUGACAACAACUUUAAACCAAUGCGACUACGGAGCAAACAUGGAAACAGUCAAGUGUGAGUGGAAAUAUUUUGCUAUGCUGACUACUAUUCAUAUCAAAGCACACAUAACAAGUGCUAUCAUAUAGACCACAUCAAGAUGCAGAGUUCAUAAUUUGCAAAAAUAUUUUUCCUAUGGAGUCCUGGACAAUAAUAUGAAAGUACAAGUAAAAUCAAGCAGACCAGAAUUAUACUGUUCUUUAAAAAGAGAGCAUAUCGCUAAAAUUCCUUUAUGCAUGGCCUGUGCUCUCCAAAUGUCUGGAUACCUUUAAGUUUGUCCAGAUAUGUUAGUUACAUAUUUGAUUAUUGUCAAGACAUUGUCGGCAACUGUUACUCGGAGAAAGCUUGCAGAUAUGAUUGAAAGACAAGCAAUCAAGUGCACUUAUAGAAACGCUAAAAGCUGUUGACAUAAAGAUAAUUAGAAAAGAAUAACAAACAAGGAUUAUAAUUUAUUUAGAAGAAAGUAUGUUUAAAAGCAACAACAUACAAACACUUUGUGGUGUUACUUCCCUGUGCUAGAACCAGUUCUCUAAAAAGGUGACAGUUAAAUGGACAAAGGCUAAACUGAAAGCAUUAUAUUAGAUAAACACAUAGGUGACCUGAAGUAAAAUUACCAAAUAUCUAUAAAAGAAAAGGCACAUAAAGCGAGCCGGUAAAAUAAUAUCAAAAGAAGAAAAAAGAACUUCGAACACUUCAAUAUUUGUCUGAAAGCCCAUGCAAUCUCGUAAGGCAGCAUUGCCAUGGGCUUUACUCAAAAACUUUAUGCUGAUAUUGGUUAAUCACCAAGCCUAAUAAAAAAAAACUACUUUUAUAUGACAACUCAAUGCCAUCAUUAGCUUUUCAUUUAUUAUUCGGAUACUAAUACACACAAUUACUUUCCUCCUGAAGAUACUGUUUGAUAUAGAAUUUCAACUGUAAACAAAGUUUCAGAGCUACCUCCAUCUUCUGAAGCAUGUCCUUUAACUUUUCACGCCUCCGCCUCCUAGCAUUAUCAUCCCCGUCUCCCAUUUCUUCAGCAGCAAGCUUGUCACUCUCAGCAACAAGUUCACCAUUGCAAUUUUCACAGUGAAAAUAUUCAUCAUCC